UUCAAGUUAUUACUUUCUCGAAGACUUCAUACACAACUUAAGGAAGAAGAAUGGUACUAAUAAAUCAUGUACAAUAGUAGAUGAAGUACAUGAUGAAUUUAAAAAAAAAAUGAAAAAUAACUUUAGUUUUCGCCUCCUCAUGUUCAAAUCCUGACUCCGUCCCCUGAUCAUACCUAGGCUAGGCACAAGACACCACGAGCUCCUCCGUCAAGAAGAGGCUGGAACUCCGGCAACAUUAUUGUCGUCGCCACCAACCAAACGCCCGGGCCAUGCAUGGCAUGUGACACGCAGGAACGGAGUAAGUACCGUGCAUGGCAUGCACACAUUGAGACCGUUUCUAGUCCUCCUUCAGUAAAGAAAAUAAGACACUUCCUCCGUUUAAAAAUAAAUAUGAUUCACUUAGUAUAAAAUUUAUACUAGUUUAGUUAUAAACUUAUAACAUUUAUUUUGGAACGAAAGGAGUGUUUCUUACCAUUGUUGUGUCGGCAGUGACCGACUCAACCGGGA
rnacentral:lncRNA from 1 species